rnacentral:rRNA from 1 species
AGCCAUGCAUGCCUUCGAAUAGGAGGAAGCAAUUCUCUCUGAAUCUGCGAACGGCUCCGCAAACCAGUUGUAAACUAUAGCAAGCAAUCCCCGGCCGGCCUUCGGGUCGGCUGUAGUGGAUAACAAGGAUAACCCUGGUAAUUCUGAGGCUAAUACAAGGACGUGCUCCCCGGCUGACCGGCAACGGAAGGCUGGGGGGCGUGCAACGUAUCGUAAGGGAUAACCGGGAAUGGGUGCACGCUUGGACCGCGCUAAAGACAGAACUCGGUGAACCUUCGGGGGAGCCUUGGCCUGAGCGGCUCUUGCUGUGUGCUUCUGACCUAUCAACUAGACGGCAGCGUAAGGGACAUGCUAUGGUUACAACGGGUACAGAGGAUUAGGGUUUGAUCCUGGAGAGUGGGCCUGAGAGAUUGCUCAUACUUCUAAGGAAGGCAGCAGGCGCGCAACGUUCCCCUUGGGCAAUGCCCGAGGGCGUUAGGGGACAUAUGAAUGCCUGCCAUAUUGGUGGGCAAUUCAAAUGGGUCUGUUAUAAACAGCCUCUCGAGUAACAAUUAGAGGACAA